GAGCCUCUGCGGUGUUCGUCACCUAGCUUGCUUUUGGCGAACCGAUAAGAGUACCCGAUGGGAUCCAAAAGGUUUCUGGUGCAUGCAAGCCCGCCCAAGUAGUGGGAUUCGUAAACCAGAACUGAGGGUUCCAACGUUAAAAUGCGGGUUCUCAAAAGAGCUAAACGGCACAGGUGGGGGCUUU
rnacentral:other from 1 species